CAGCAGCCGCGGUAAUACGUAGGUGGCAAGCGUUGUCCGGAAUUAUUGGGCGUAAAGGGCUCGCAGGCGGUUUCUUAAGUCUGAUGUGAAAGCCCCCAGCUCAACCGGGGAGGGUCAUUGGAAACUGGGAAACUUGAGUGCAGAAGAGGAGAGUGGAAUUCCACGUGUAGCGGUGAAAUGCGUAGAGAUGUGGAGGAACACCAGUGGCGAAGGCGACUCUCUGGUCUGUAACUGACGCUGAGGAGCGAAAGCGUGGGGAGCGAACAGGAUUAGAUACCCCCGUAGUCCCUGUCUCUUAUAC
rnacentral:rRNA from 1 species